AGUAGGAAGAAAAUAGCUGCCAACACUUCUGUCUGACUUGGAUGAUCCUGAUUUUCCUCUUGCUCUGUCAAACCCUGCUUGCUCAGUCCUUUCUGAUGGAAUUGAGGGCAGAACGUCCUUCUGAGAGCAGCUUUUGUUCCCAUCAGCAUUUAACUGUGCUUGCUUUGUAGGAUAUGAUCUACAGAGCCCUCACCUCUGCCUUCCUGUGCUUCUCCAAGAGGGAAUGCUGGCUGCUGAGCACAGACAGUGGGCUGGACCUCCAGGUUUCACAGAAUGCCAGCAGCAAUAUUCAGAGAAAAUAUUCAGGAAAAAGGUUUGCCAUUGGAAGUGAACUUCUGAAGAAAUAUUGUCUCCUGCUCCUGACUGUGGCAACUGGAAUUAGCAGACCAGUCCUUUUCUUCCCUUCUCUCUGAAAAGAACAGUGGGAGGCCAGGACAUCACCUUUAUCUGAAGGCUUAUAUUGAAACUCUGAACAAGCAGUCCAUGAUUUUGAAGGAGAGGAUGAGGGCUUUUUCCCUUACCUGAGGAAUCUGCUCUUGAACUGGAGACCACAGCCUUUAAAAGCCUGGAGUGGUGAUGUCGGAUGUCUGUCUUUCAGAAAUCCAUGCAGAGUGGAGCCAGCGAUUCCUUACGAAGGGAAGAUGAAUGCAAAAGCUGAAGGGCCUUUGUUACCCGGCUAAUGCCCACAUGUCUCUGUGGAAGAAAUGCUGACCGUGGCAGGAAAGGUGUUCUUGGCCUUUCCCAGAGAGGACAUGACGUGCUGCAAGGAGACACUGGAGCUGCAGCCAGGCUGAACCACAGUGCAAGGUGCCUCCAAAGCUCUCUACAGGAGUGUUUUCCAGGAAUGUCUAGCCCCAUUUGGAGUGUUGGACUGCUGCACCUGCUCCUCCUUAAGUUUGGCAUCCACAGGAAAACUGUCCGGAGAUGGGAAGGGGCAGCGCUGGAAAAACGUUGGGACAAAGUUCAUUUUUCUUAGAUUCUCCCUGGCCUAAUGUGCUUGAUUUUAUCCUCAGGUUGUUUCCCAAUGAACUUCUACACUCUAAGGCAGAAAGAAACCUGUGGCAAAAUAAGCUUAUGGUAACAGCACCAUAAAUCCACUGUGAGCUAGGCUUGGAGAUGGCCUUCCACUGAAGAACCAGCUCUUGAAGAGGAAAAAUGGAGCAUCCUGAAAAUGCUGCACAGAAGUGCUGGUGGAAUACCAGUGGCAAUCCUGAGCUGUUUCCUAAAGAAUCCCCAGAAAAUGAAUUUUCUGUUCAUUCAUCUCUCCUCUCCAUCCUUCCUCUCUGGCAGCCAGGCUGGGCCUGAGACAUGGGCCUGGUGAAAGGAGAUAGAAAAUUCCUGCUUUGCUUCAGUGUCUGUAGUGAGAAAUGAGCUUUUUAAGGAAGCAGAUCUGGAAAUGUCCCGGGCUGUACCUUGUGGCUCAGCUGAAGAUGAGCUGAUAGGCAAUGAGGAUGACUAAAUUUGUUCAGUCAGUGGGUGGACAUCCCUGUCUUGCAAAAACCAUGAUGACUGAUCCAUCAUAAAAUGUUGGGCUAUCAAAUUUUCUAUUUAGCAAAUACAAACUGAAAAAUCCUCUUGUACAUGUGAAAAGAUGCCUCCCUGCAAGGUGUGAGGGUCCAGCUGCCCCACCUGCCCUUUAGAUGGCUAGUCAGGUUGGUCCUUUAGGAGGUCAUCCACCCUGAAGCUCAGAAAGGAAGCUGGCUUGCGGGUUCAUUUGGUUUAAA